rnacentral:lncRNA from 1 species
CUGUCUGGCAGAGUGACUCCAGGGUAUCAGAUUAUUUAUCAUUUUUCCCCUUAUUUUCCCUAGGUUCUUCCAAUCCUCAGCUCCCACAGACUUCAUAUUUCUUCCUGAAAAAAGUACAAAAGCUCUAAUGCAUUUCAACUUGUCCAAAUGGGCCCUCAAUAUGGAAGAUGACUUCAGUCUCUCAAAUAGCAUGGAUCCUAAGAGGUAUAUAAUAUUGGGGAAAAUCCACAGGUGUGGAGGUCCAGAGCCUGAGAGUAUAGUCCUGCUUCCACCAUGAAGAAGGGUCUAUGGACAUUGAAGAAAAGUUUAGUAUCAGCACAAAAAGAGAGGGCGAAGAUCCAGUGGGAAUUGAGGAAGAACUUGUUCUCUCGUGGAAGCAGCAUGUGUGAGG